rnacentral:lncRNA from 1 species
UGCUAUAUUUAUUUAAAGGGGGAAAAAAUUGAGCUUACUUUUUGCAGCUGUGAAAUGUAGACUCAAAAUAACUAUUUAAAGCUGACUUAGGGAUAGUCACAAAAGUAAAGGAAAAGUUAAGAAAAGUAGAAAGAUUGAGGGUAUUUUGUCAUAACCAAUGUGGUCUGCCAAAUAAAAUGUAAGGGGAAAAGAGGGGUUAUUUAUAUGAAGAUUAGACUGAAUUAUAUUUAAAAUAAGGUCACCAGGAAAUUAAUUUAUUCCAAAAGAGAUUUAUAUACAAAUAUAGAAAGAGUGAAGAAAUUCAGAGAGAGAAUAGGGUAAAAUAUCUAGCCUAAGCACUAAGUAAAUUACUCCAGACCCCUGGCUCAACUCAGGCAGAGAGAGUUAGACCUUGGGCCUUGGCAAAACCAAGGACCUCAGGAAGUCUUUCCUGAGGCUAGUCUCUUCAGAAAAUCCAAUAUGAAAGGAGUCAGCCUUUCACUCACCAAGUCUUGGGUCCAGUCAGCAGAUUCUCCACCAGCCUCUACUCCAAAGAAAGAAAGAACUCCCAGUAGAACUCCACUCAAAAGUACCAGAAAUGAGAAGAGGCAGGCAGACUCUUUUGGACCUGAUGACCAAUUUUCUGGGAUUCUAUAAAGUUAUUCAUGACUCAAAUUGGAAUUAAUAAGGAGACGACAAUACAAAAAGAGCCAUUUCACAGUGCUAAAGAAGCACAAAGCGACUUGCAUAGUGCCAAUCAAGCACAAGGUCAAAGAGACCAAACCAAUCCUAUGUGGACUGAUGACAUUCUGUGCAAAGAGCUCAAGGACUUGAUCAUGUGUGCGACCAGAGGUUGCGACUGCGACUGUUUAACAUGCGCUAAAUGCAGGAUUUCCUUGAACCACACACUCUAUAUCAAAUAUAUGACAUCAAUUAUUCUGUCUCUAUCUUGGCUCCCAUUUGCUACUAUCAUCUAGUCCCUUUUCUCUUUUAUAGUAUGGCAAAUUGCUGUAGUCUUGGAUGCAAAUGGGUAAAUGAAAUA